AAAAAAACAACAGAAUGCAUAGAAAAUGAAAACUCCGAAGAAGGAGCGAGAAAACCUUACCGAACAGCAAGGGCAGACCGAGCCGACGGCCGCUUGUUGUUGUUUCAAGUGCUAUUGCAAGCAGCUGUUUCAACGCACGCAUGGCUUCAUUUUCAGUGACAGGAUCACUUGGAACCCACAUUGUGCAGGCUGCUUCCUUCGUCAGUGUUUCGUGGAUUGGAUGUGCUUCUGGCAUGACUGCUCCAGCUAAAAUCCCCUCAAUCUUUGGAAGUACAGAUUGACUCAAAAUGAUGGAGUAACUCAGCGUGUCAGGCAGCAUCUCCGGAGAACAUGGAUAGGUGGCGUUCCAGGCUGGGCCCUUCUUACUGGUGUAUUAUCCCAGCCUCAGCUGACAGGUGAAACAGACCUCUUGGAGAGUGGCAGAGGGGAUCACAAAAUUCACACUUUUUUUCCUGCACGUACUUGCAUCCUGAUACUUAGCAUCAGCUGUCCAGCAAGCAUUCCUUCAUUGCAGCUGCAGUUUUUUGCAAUCAACAAAAUACACUGCAGUUACUUGCGUAGGCUACUCUGACAGCGGCUCCCAAACCUGUGACAUCCAGCAGCAAGGCCGGGGGCAGCAGGUAUAUUGGAACUCUACCUUCACAAUCUACUCCUGCACACAAACCAUCUUGACUUGAAAACGGAUCGCUGUUCCUUCAUUGACAUUGGGUGCAAAUCCUGGAACUCCCUCCCAACAGCCUGGAAAUCAGCCAGUUCAGAUCAUUGCUCUGUGGGGACACCUUCACCAACAGGGCUGCAGCAGUGCAAGGAGUCAACUCACCAUCAACUUCUUAAGGAUUUAUUCCAUUUUCAGACCAGCAUGGCGCAGAGAGAAACCAUCAGGGUGCAUCAUGCUGCUCAUGUGUGAAUCCAUCUCCACUGCUGUGUCAUUACCAGACAUACAUCAAGGAAGAUUUUGCAGAAAUCUACUGGGAAGUUGUGAAGCGGGUGCUUUUAAUAUAAUAAAGUUUAAGGUUUUGCUCGAGUCUGUUCAUACUGUACCUCACACUAUUUAAUUUAGUGGUAAAAAGUUGAACUUAACUGCAAUAUAUAUGCUCAUCUGUACCAAAAAUGCAUUGUCUACUUUGGCUGCCAAUCUAUAAUCUAAUUGACAGUUAGAUGCACAAUGAUUUGCAAAAAUGGUAAUAUCUACAGUAAUAGGCUAUUUAGAAGAAAAUAAAGUGAUUCUAGACAGUGCCAGAAUCCCAUGAGUUUGUGAAAAUCUCCUAUUUUGAUUAUUAAUAUGUCCCUUCAAGCCAUGUAAUGUAUUUUUAGUUUAUUGUGCUACAAUUCUGCAAGGUUAUCUUCCUAGUUACAGCAAUCAACCUCGGGCUAUAGGUUUUCUCCUCUUCAGCUGCAAAUGCCUCAGUAAUCAAUGGCAUCUGCACUUCUCCUGUUAAUUGGAAAUGAAUAAACUUUGAGCUUUCUGUGCAAUACA